UCCGAAGUCUUGUAGCUCAAUGGUAGAGCAUCCGACUACUGUAGCGGAAGGUCACAGGUUCUACUCCAGUUAAUAGAA